rnacentral:rRNA from 1 species
AGGACGAACGCUGGCGGCGUGCCUAACACAUGCAAGUCGAACGGAGUGAGGAGCUUGCUCCUAACUUAGUGGCGGACGGGUGAGUAACGCGUGAGUAACCUGCCUCUGAGAGGGGAAUAACGUUCUGAAAAGAACGCUAAUACCGCAUGACACAUAUUUGCCGCAUGACAGAUAUGUCAAAGAUUAUAUCGCUCAGAGAUGGACUCGCGUCCGAUUAGUUAGUUGGUGAGGUAACGGCUCACCAAGACCGCGAUCGGUAGCCGGACUGAGAGGUUGAACGGCCACAUUGGGACUGAGACACGGCCCAGACUCCUACGGGAGGCAGCAGUGGGGGAUAUUGCGCAAUGGGGGCAACCCUGACGCAGCAACGCCGCGUGAAGGAUGAAGGUUUUCGGAUUGUAAACUUCUUUUCUCAGGGACGAAAUCUGACGGUACCUGAGGAAUAAGCUCCGGCUAACUACGUGCCAGCCGCCGC